ensembl:lncRNA
AAGAAAAUCCCCUAAAAUGACAUCUGACCCAAAGUAAACUGCCUGUAGCUCAGGACCUGAAGCCAGGAUACGCAUAUUCUUGUUACCAUUUGAAAGGAAAACCUUUGACGUUUGUGGAAAUGUUAAAUUAAUGUAGGAGAAUAUAGUUAAAGUCUAAAAGUAUUUGGUUUUAAAUUGACUUAAGUAUCAAAAGUAAAUGUAAUUGCUAAAAUAUACUUAAGUAUCAAAAGUAGAAGUAAAUACUAAGCAAACCAGACAGCAUUAUUAUUUUUUAACGGAUAGCUAGGGACACACUUCAACACUCAGACAUAAUUAACAAACAAAGCAUUUGUGUUUAGUGAGUCCUCCAGGUCAGAGGCAGUAGGGAUGAGCAGGGAUGUCCUCUUGAUAAGUGUGAAUUGGACCAUUUCCUGUCCUGCUAAGCAUUCGAAAUGUAACAAGUACUUUUGGGUGUCAGGGAAAAUGUAUGGAGUAUAAAGUACAUUCUUUUCUUUAGGAAUGUAGUGAAGUAAAAGUACAAUUUGUGGGGUACAGAUACCCCCCCAAAACUACUUAAGUAAUACUUUAAAAGUAUGUUUACUUAAGCACUUUACACCACUGGUUCAGAGGCAGACAUGAAGUGGAUUCUCUCAACCAGCUUCAUGAGGUAGUCACCAUGAAUGCAUUACAAUUAACAGGUGUGCCUUGUUAAAAGUUAAUUUGAUAGCCCUAUUUGGUAAAAUACCAAGUCCAUAUUAUGGCAAGAACAGCUCAAAUAAGCAAAGAGAAACAACAGUCCAUCCUUAUUUUAAGACACAAAGGUCAGUCAAUCUGGAAGAUUUCAACGACUUUCAAAAAAAAAAAAAAAAAAAAAACCCAGAAAAAACCAUCAUGCGCUAUGAUGAAAGUGUCUCUCACGAGGACCGCCACAGGAAAGGAAGACCCAGAGUUACUUCUGCUGUAGAGGAUAAGUUCAUUAGAGUUACCAGCCUCAGAAAUUGCAGCCCAAAUAAAUGCUUCAGAGUUCAAGUAACAGACAUGUGUCAACAUCAACUGCUCAGAGGAGACUGUGUGAAUCAGGCCUUCAUGGUCGAAUUGCUGCAAAGA